UACGUAGGGUGCGAGCGUUAAUCGGAAUUACUGGGCGUAAAGCGUGCGUAGGUGGUUCGUUGUGUCUGUGGUGAAAGCCCCGGGCUUAACCUGGGAAUGGCCAUGGAAACUGGCGAGCUGGAGUGUGGCAGAGGGGGGUGGAAUUCCCCGUGUAGCAGUGAAAUGCGUAGAGAUGUGGAGGAACACCGAUGGCGAAGGCAGCCCCCUGGGCUAACACUGACGCUCAUGCACGAAAGCGUGGGGAGCAAACAGG
rnacentral:rRNA from 1 species